rnacentral:tRNA from 1 species
AGGAAUGUGGCUUAGUGGUAGAGUGCUUGCCUAGCAAACAUGAAACCCUGGGUUCCAUUCCUG